CCUCGUCGUUCCGGCUUCCCUCUAGGCGGCGGCGGAAGGUGGGAGCGGCGACUGCUGGCGGGACAGAGUUGGGGCCCCCGAAACCUCCGGUGUUUAUACACGCACUUCCAGGGACCGCAGCACGUCACCAAAGCCUCUUGAGAAACUUGGGGCAGAUCCCAGUCUUCACCAUAUGGGAAUGCUAAAAAUCCAAUAGAAAACCUGUAGUCUUGCUGCCUAAAGAACCAGAGAACAAGAAUUUGGGGCAACUAUAGCCACUAGAAUUGAGAGAAGAAAUACAAAAAAGGCUUUUCUACUAAAAAAGAAGGAAGUGUCGAAGAAGUAAAAGAGGAGAAGCUGUCACUGAGUACAAGACUUUUAAGAGGGUGAUGAUGACCGACCAGUGAGACCAGUCAUGGACACCCAGUGUAAAGAUGGCCGUAGCAGAUGUGAUCAUCCUCAUUGCAGAUGAUUUAAUGGAAAACAGCAACCAUUAACAACACAAGACUGGCAGUAGGGGAACCUUGAUUUAAACUCCUGCCAAUGACAAGGAAUGUGAUCUAAAGCUAGUUACUUAAUCUUUCUGAGCCCCAGUUUCCACUUCUGUGGAAUCGUGGUUGGGAUGUUGGACAUCAUUGCUGAUUCCUGUUCCAGACACGCCUUCCAGCGAUGGAAUGAGACACGAUGGUGGAGCUUUGGAUUUGAAUGCGUAAUCUUAAUAGGAAAUGGAGAACUUUAACAUGGGAAACUUGCAGCAGAGAGGGCCUCCUCCCAUCCAACAGGCCUGGCUGUAGACAUCAUCCAGAAAAUUUACUCUGGAGGAUCAAUAAGAUGGGCAAAAUCACUUGCAAGUUUAUCUUUUUCAAAAACUCCAUAAAAUAUGGAAGUAGGUUGAGUAGCACUUGCAAUAUAUUUCAAAAAAAAUUAAGCUAAAAAGAGUCAUCUGGAUCACAUGAGGAUCCGUGUCCCUGGCUGGACUUUGCCCUUGAUGACAGAAGGUGAACAGAGCUGGUGGAACAAGGCUAGGAGCUAUUUCUCGCUAUUUCAAACAAUAAGGUCAAGCUACUGGUGAUGGAAUCCAGGCUUCAAAAGAAGAACCAGAUGUCAGAUGGAAAUGAUCAAGAAGACAGAUCAGGAGUUCCCGUCGUGGCUCAAUGUUUCCAAGGAGGAUUUCACUCGGAGCAAUCUGUUUCCUGAGAGAGAGUCGAGGAAUUCUCUUGGAGUCUCUUGAGGAUCUGGUGAAGCUCUGUGGUUUUGUUCUAUAAGCAAGAUUGGAUGGCGUGUUUGUGAAAAAGCAGUGAAAUCUCUUGGAACAAAAUGUGAUCGCUUUUGCAAUCAUUCUGCACCAAAGCACAUUUAUAAGCCAGUACUUCUUGGGAUCUGUGAUAGAGGAUGCAACAUAACUGCAGGUAGAUGCGUGACUUUCCUCACCUAGUGAUGAGAAAAGGAGGAUUAAAAAGAUCCAGCCAAAAGGGAUCUGUUGGUUAAACCUGGGGUGGGUGAGUCCAAGUUUUGUGACCCAAAUAAUGUAUUUCUGAAUGGAAUCGACUUUCAGGCUUCAGCGUAUUUAUCAAGAGAACAGAAAAUCCCCACUUGAUUCUAAAACUAUUCCCUGACAGUGCCCACAUUUAGUUAAGAUUUUAUAGCAUGCAGCAUCUGAAGAUCUCAGAAAACCCUUUCUAGACAAUUCCAUGCUCAGGAUUGCCUCUUGCCUUUAUUUACAACGUUGUUCUCUCUUCUUGCCAACUUAUGAAUCUUAGGCCAUUGCUGGGCCUCACAUUUUGCUGCUGUGUGAGGUUGGGCAGAAGCCAACAGGGAAUCAAUCUAGUUGAAUGUGCUGCCAGAAGAGGUGCUGCUAAAGGAGAGCUCUGUCGACCACAGGGCCCAGCAAUUCUGGCCAUUGGUCUAAAGAAGAGAGUGCGUUCGAUGAAAGAUAUCCCAACAGCUGCAAGACACUGAGCCCAGAAAACAGCAACAGUAACAACAAACAUUUGCAGAAAAUAUAGUCAUACUUCUAGGCUUGGCAAUGAAUAUUUCCAUCCAGAAAAAUGAAAACACAGAAUCUGAAUUGUUAUUAAACUUUGAAAUAAAUAUAUUGCAGGAUGAGGGAGAAGAGCUAGAAUCUUCACACACUUUCAUGUCUACAGUUGAUAAAUGAUAGCAGCAUAUGUGUAUCAUUUAGAAAAACAGACCCAGUUUAAGAACAAAGAGUUGCCUCUGGAGGGUGAAAUGGGUGUGCAUGUGAGAACCAUAGCUUAACAAUAGGCUCACUAGUUCCCAUUCAACUUCUGAAAUCACAUUCAUGUGUGACUGUAAUAAAACAAUAUUGAAAAAAUUGAACUUUGUCCAAUUCCAUAAAUUAGUGCAUUGGGACAUCAACAUUACUAACUUCUCAUUCCCUGUGUAAAGGCCAAGGACCACAGCACCUCCCACCUUGCACCCUCCCACCUUGCACCCUCCCACCUUGGAGCCCCCUCUGCUGUGCAAUCCAAAAACUCUAACUGGGACGGUGAAUUCUCCCGGCCUAGAGUGACUAUGAAAGUCUGUUUUCAUCAUUUCUGGGUUUUCUGCACAGACAGGCUUCCCAUACAGGAGAUGUUACUGAUGGCUUUGUUGAAGGAGGAUUUAGUCGAUAACAUGGAAAUAGUUUGUAAUAAGAGAUAAAUAUUUGCAAUAAGAGGCUUGGUUUUUUAAGGAAAUGUACCCUUCUAAUUGCCACCGUCGACCAUAAAUUUGCAUUCUUAAUGAAGGAGAAAACAAAGUAGUGAAAUGUUAACCGACUCUGAGUUUGGAGAGAUGGGUAAAUUAGCCUCUUGGGAGUUUACACAGUUCCUCUCUUGAAUUCACUUGUUCUUCUUCAUUGUUUAUUUGCACAUACCUGGUUUCACAUAAGUAAUAAAAGAUUUUUCUUUCUCUCUGUGCUUAUCUAUGUUACACACCAGAGACCUUACCUGAAACUUGAACCCUGGGGAGAGGCUAUUCCCAACAAAAACUACCAAAGCGCAGAGCUAGAGAUUCCCUGGUGACAACGGCUUUUAAAUCCAGUGGAAACAGAGAACUGCAUGAAGCAGCAGAGGGGUCAGCUGCAAGCCGGGGCCCUGCCCCCAGCCCCCGGUAACCAGAAUCCCCCAGUCUUUGGAAAGGUAGAUACCAAUGGCACUACCUUCAGCCAGGUAAACAAUGCAAUUCUAAACCCAACAAUCUGGGGGAGGUUGGACAUUUACGUCUGCAGAGAACAAUACCAGGCACUGGCCUCACUCCAGACCUGCAUGCCAGGCACCCUGUUGGCCAGCUCUGUGGCGCCUGUGUCUCAGCUCCAGAUUCCCUGCCUUUUGGUCCAUGCUCCAAGGCACCUUCAUGCCAAGAAAACAAAUGGGGAUAGAAAAUAUAGCUUGGUGGCUACCGCAGUGACUGCUGCUGUGGGAAUUGUUUGAAAUAUCAAAGAACCAUUGCAGAUCCAGAGUGACAGCGGCCGUGGUGAACAUACACUCGCACUAUCAUAAUGGACUAGAAAUCAGAGGGUGUGUAUUCAGUUAUCAGCUCCACUACUUCCCAUCUUGUAACAUUAGUCUAGUUGUCAACUAGUAAAGGUCUGCUACAAAGCACAAGCUCCCAAAGCUGGUCAUUUGUUAAUAAAUGCCAAAGUCACUUAAGUGUUUGGGGCCUCUGUGGCUCCCUAUUAAAAAUAAGGGGGUUGAUAUCUUGGCAAUAAUGACAGCGACUGCUAUUUAUUGGGUGAUUACUAUGUGCUGGGCACUGCUGUGAAUUAAUUAAAUCUUUUAGUUGUCACAGAAACCCACUUCUUUUAACAUGCAAGGAAAUCAAAGCACAGAGAGGCUAAGUAACCGGCCCAAAGUUGGUAAGAGACAUAACACGAGAUUCAAAACUUCAAAGCCCAUGUGUUUAUCCAUUUUGUCAAUAUCUACCUUAUGUUAUUCUCAUUUUGUCAAUUAUCAUCAUCAGUGGGAAGAUGUUUAAUCUCUUCUUCCAAUUCUAUGUGUACUGCCUGUAUUACUUCUCAUAGAUUGAUCCUUUAAGUAUCCAUCUAUACUUGAGCCUCCAAACGUCACUGUAAAGCCUCCAAAAAUUUAUUUAUUUACACUCCAAAAAUGAGAAAUCAGGAAUUUUGUACCUACCUGCGGACGCAGUAUAAAGUGGACAGGGCUAGCAAGUAGGUUGAAUGCCAACGGGCAACACAAAGGAGCCGAUCUAACAGGGUACAAGCACUGGGACCAUAUGUAGCCGUGUACUGUUUAUACUAUGCAUAGCUAUGUACUGCUGACCAGCUCUCUAACAUGGAAAGACUUGACAUGUCAUUUCCCUAAGCAGCGUCACAGGCCAAGAGCUGAGGUAGACAGAGGAGCCCCAGUCAUGUGGAAGAAAAGCACUGGACUUAGAUUUCGAUAAUUGAAUGAAGGUCUUACUGGUUGCACAACCCUGGGCAAGACUGUUUCCCUCACUGAACCUGCCUCUACUUCUGUAAAAUGGGGAUGUGUGAUGUUUGAUGUACCUCACAGGCUUGUCAUGAGGAUUGAAUGGGAUGACAAGGAAACUACUUGGCAAACUCUAAAGACUUGCUACUCAAAGGGGCUCCUCAGACCUGCAGCACCAGCAUCAUUCAUAAGUUUGUGAAAAAGGCAAAUCUCCCCACCCCAGACCUCCUGAGACAGAAUCUGCAUUUCAGCAGCAUCCCCAGGCUUAACCGAUCCCAGGAUGUCACAGAUUGCCAGAGGUCUGUUCACUAUCUUAAGUGCUUUCAGACAUACAGAUGGCCAAAAAACACAUGAAAAGAUGUUCAACAUCACUCAUUAUUAGAGAAAUGCAAAUAAAAACCACUAUGAGGCACUACCCUACACCUGCCCGAAUGGUCAUCAUCUGAAAGUCUAUAAAAAAUAAGUGCUGGAGAGGGUGUGGAGCAAAAGGAACCCUAGUACACUGUUGGUGGGAUUGUAAAUUGGUGCAACCACUGUGGAGAACACUAUGGAGAUGCCUCAGAAAAUGAAACAUAGAACUACCAUUUGAUCCAGCAAUCCCACUCCUGGGCAUCUAUCCAGAGAAAAACCAUGACUCAAAAAGACACAUGUUCUCCAAUGUUCAUUGCAGCA